UACGUAGGGGGCAAGCGUUGUCCGGAUUUAUUGGGCGUAAAGAGCGUGUAGGCGCCAGGGAGGUCCGUUGUGAAAACUCGAGGCUCAACCUCGAGACGCCGAUGGAAACCCCCUGGCUAGAGUCCGGAAGAGGAGAGUGGAAUUCCUGGUGUAGCGGUGAAAUGCGCAGAUAUCAGGAAGAACACCCGUGGCUAAGGCGGCUCUCUAGUACGGUACUGACGCUGAGACGCGAAAAGCGUGGGGGAGCGAACAGG
rnacentral:rRNA from 1 species